rnacentral:misc_RNA from 1 species
AAAAGAAUUGCACUUUGCAAAGAGAUGGUGAUAAGUUCAUAAUGCCAUUAACAUGUUACACUUUGUCAUUAUCAGAAUGGAAAAAGUUUUGUGAAUGGUUGAAAUCAAUUAAGUUACCUAAUAAUGACGCCUCUAACUUGUCUCGAUGUGUAAAUGUUGAUGAUUGUAGAUUAUCGGGAAUGAAAGUCAUGACUAUCAUGUAUUUCUACAACGAUUACUUCUAGCUGCAACCCAUGGUUAUUUGAGGAAGGAUAUUUAUAUUGUAUUGUCUAAAUUGAGUUCUUUCUUCAGAGACUUAUGUUCAAAGACAAUAGAAAGGGCUACAUUGCAUAAGUUACAAAAUGGCAUAGUUCUAAUAUUUUGUAAACUUGAAACCAUAUAUCCACCAUCAUUUUUUGUGAUUGUGAUACAUUUUGCGAUUAACCUUCCACGUGAAGUAGAACUCGAUGGCCCAGUUCAUUAUCGAUGGAUGUAUUUCAUUAAAAGGUAACUUGAAGCUUUUUGCA